ACUCCUACGGGAGGCAGCAGUGGGGAAUAUUGCACAAUGGGGGAAACCCUGAUGCAGCCAUGCCGCGUGUGUGAAGAAGGCCUUCGGGUUGUAAAGCACUUUCAGUAGGGAGGAAGGUAGUAGUAGUUAACACCUGCACUAUUUGACGUUACCUACAGAAGAAGCACCGGCUAACUCCGUGCCAGCAGCCGCGGUAAUACGGAGGGUGCGAGCGUUAAUCGGAAUUACUGGGCGUAAAGCGCAUGCAGGCGGCCUGUUAAGUCAGAUGUGAAAGCCCGGGGCUUAACCUCGGAAUUGCAUUUGAAACUGGCAGGCUAGAGUCUUGUAGAGGGGGGUAGAAGUUUCAGGUGUAGCGGUGAAAUGCGUAGAGAUCUGAAGGAAUACCAGUGGCGAAGGCGGCCCCCUGGACAAAGACUGACGCUCAGAUGCGAAAGCGU
rnacentral:rRNA from 1 species